GGGGAUUUAGCUCAGCGGCAUAAGCGCCUGCCUUGCAAGCAGGUAGUCGUGACUUCAAUCCCCG
rnacentral:tRNA from 1 species